UACGUAGGGGGCUAGCGUUAUCCGGAAUUACUGGGCGUAAAGGGUGCGUAGGUGGUUUCUUAAGUCAGAGGUGAAAGGCUACGGCUCAACCGUAGUAAGCCUUUGAAACUGGGGAACUUGAGUGCAGGAGAGGAGAGUGGGAUUCCUAGUGUAGCGGUGAAAUGCGUAGAUAUUAGGAGGAACACCAGUUGCGAAGGCGGCUCUCUGGACUGUAACUGACACUGAGGCACGAAAGCGUGGGGAGCAAACAGG
rnacentral:rRNA from 1 species